GCAGUGGUGGUCUAGCGGUAGAAUUUUUGCCUUCCAUGCAGAAGGCUUGGUUCGAUCCUGGGCCAAUGCA
rnacentral:tRNA from 1 species